rnacentral:rRNA from 1 species
UACGAAGGGGGCUAGCGUUGCUCGGAAUUACUGGGCGUAAAGGGCGCGUAGGCGGCCGAUCAAGUCAGAUGUGAAAGUCCUGGGCUUAACCGGGGAACUGCGUCUGAUACUGGAUGGCUUGAAUCCGGGAGAGGGAUGCGGAAUUCCAGGUGUAGCGGUGAAAUGCGUAGAUAUCUGGAGGAACACCGGUGGCGAAGGCGGCAUCCUGGACCGGCAUUGACGCUGAGGAGCGAAAGCCAGGGGAGCAAACGGG